rnacentral:lncRNA from 1 species
CCUAAAGCUGUUCUUACAUAGAUCAUCUCUGAACUCAUCAGAACAGGAUGCUGGGGAUCUCAUUUAAUAAAUUGCUAAAAUAUUCUUAUUUAAGUUUUAUUUUAACCUGACUAUAAUUUGAUCAGGUUCUCUUUAGCUUCUUUUAGAGAAUAGAGUUGUGAAACAUUUUCAUUUUAUUAAAAAAGAAGUUCCAGCUGAUACAGAAAGUUUCCAUUUUUGUUUUGAUUUCAUUAUUUCUGUGUUUUACCCCUUCCCUCCCUUAUAUAAAAAUGUAAGUAUUUAGAUCCAGUAAGACUCCAAAGCAAGCAUUUCAUAUGGUUUUCAAUCUGUAUAAAAUCACAUUUCUCUUUCAUUUUGCAAAUAAAACAGAAGUGUCUCAAGAAAAUUUCAAAAUAAUUUAAUUCUUUUCUCCAUAUUUUUCACUCACAUUUUGGUGGUGUUGGUGGGAAAAUGCAUCCUACUCUUCAUUCUGUUGGUGGACUCCCAUCAAGGACCAAAAAGAAAAAAAGAAAAAAAGAAAUAAACAAACAAACCAAAAAAAAAAAAAAAAAAAAGAAGAAAACUUAGAAAAGGCCACUUCUGCUUAAAAGACAAUACUACUUAUGGUUUUAAUUUAAAGAGAAACAUUUAUUUGGACAUUUAAAUUUAUUGAGGUCCACAAAGAUUGUUUUCUCUCCCCAGAUUAGAAAUGCCAUGUGACUGGAUGGGAGUGUCUCACAGGCCAGGUCUCACUGGAGGGAUCCUGAAAGGAAAAUUCAGAUGACACCUCAAAUUCUGGGCAGCAGUGCUGAGACAGUGGGAGGCCUGACAGGUCUGCGGCAGCCACAGCCAGGAGAGAGGAUUUCACAGCAAUCUGCCACAGCAAUGCUGGUCCCUCCAAAGGACAGGAGGCCCAACCAGCAUUUAAAUGACAAGUUUACUAAUGGUAACUGGAAGUGCUGUGAUGUCUCCCUGCUUCAAGUACAGAUUGCAACACCUGCUGGGACAAGACUCCCCCAAACCUGUGAGAUGCUGCAGGAUGCUCAGGGAAACGCUGCACAACCUGGCGAGGACUCAAUGUGAUAACGCUGAAGAGUGAUCAGACAGUCAACUAUGAAACCGCGGCGGCGUCUGCUGAGGAAAACCCACAAGCUGUCAAGAAAGCUGCGGGAUGUUUUGCGACACAAUCUAUCAACUAUCCAAGGUGAAUGCCUUUAUUUAUAGAUGGAUUUCUUUUCCUGUUGUAAUUCCAUGCCUUCUCAGUCUUACAGUAAGCCACCUGGCCAGUGUGAAUACGCACGUUAAUUUCAAGGUAAUAUAUUAUUCUGUAUAAUAAAAACAAGUUGUCUGGCUGUUUUUAGUGGAGU